CCCUUAGAUGUUCUGGGCCGCACGCGCGCUACAAUGAUGAAUUCAACGAGUUUAUAACCUUGGUUGAAAAGCCUGGGUAAUCUUUUGAACUUUCGUCGUGAUGGGGCUAGACCCUUGCAAUUAUUGGUCUCCAACGAGGAAUUCCUAGUAAACGCAAGUCAUCAGCUUGCAUUGAUUACGUCCCUGCCCUUUGUACACACCGCCCGCCGCACCUACCGAUUGAAUGGUCCGGUGAAAUCUUCGGAUUGAGACUUUGAUUUCUUCACGGAAAACGCUGUUUUAAGAAGUUGAUUAAACCUUACCAUUUAGAGGAAGGUGAAGUCGUAACA
rnacentral:rRNA from 1 species